GAGGCAGCAGUGGGGAAUUUUGGACAAUGGGCGAAAGCCUGAUCCAGCAAUGCCGCGUGUGUGAAGAAGGCCUUCGGGUUGUAAAGCACUUUUGUCCGGAAAGAAAUCCUUGGCUCUAAUACAGUCGGGGGAUGACGGUACCGGAAGAAUAAGCACCGGCUAACUACGUGCCAGCAGCCGCGGUAAUACGUAGGGUGCGAGCGUUAAUCGGAAUUACUGGGCGUAAAGCGUGCGCAGGCGGUCUGUUAAGACAGAUGUGAAAUCCCCGGGCUCAACCUGGGAACUGCAUUUGUGACUGGCAGGCUAGAGUAUGGCAGAGGGGGGUAGAAUUCCACGUGUAGCAGUGAAAUGCGUAGAGAUGUGGAGGAAUACCGAUGGCGAAGGCAGCCCCCUGGGCCAAUACUGACGCUCAUGCACGAAAGCGAGGGGAGCAAACAGGAUUAGAUACCCUGGUAGUCCACGCCCUAAACGAUGUCAACUAGUUGUUGGGGAUUCAUUUCCUUAGUAACGUAGCUAACGCGUGAAGUUGACCGCCUGGGGA
rnacentral:rRNA from 1 species